rnacentral:lncRNA from 1 species
AAGGAAUGUGUCUUACUUAUACUUAGGGGCUUGUGGUUCAGCAGAGACCACACUGGACUGGACUGAACAGACAACUGAAGGGCUCUCUCUACCUUUCAGCAUCUCUGUCUGCCUUUCUGACUACCUAAAAAUUACUGCAACCUCUGAUUCUGUUUCUAAGGUGGAUUUUCCCUACUCAUGCUUCCUAGAGAUUUGGUGAGGAUUUGUUGAGUCAUGGGACAUUUCAGCUUGCCAAGCUUCUUUAGCUUUAGCACGUGUUUCCACCAGUGUCCCUUAACGGAGAGGAUGACUAUGUCACUGAAGAAGUGGAGGGGCUGAAAAUGGACUCAGCUCUUGGCCCCUGUAGAGACUGCAAGACUCCGUGCACACCGUGACAGUCGGGGCUUCCUCUGAGCACUGCGCCGUUCAGCCCUAUUGCGCAACCUGCCACGCCCUGUUACUGUAAAUGGAACACCGGCUGUGAGCUGGUCAAGGCCCUGCCAUGACAAGGCCACUUGCAUAGGACUCCAAAUUAAAAAAAAAAAAAAAAA